rnacentral:rRNA from 2 species
GACGAACCGUGCGAACGUUGUUCGGAAUCACUGGGCUUAAAGGGCGCGUAGGCGGACUGUCCAGUCAGGGGUGAAAUCCUGCGGCUCAACCGUAGAAGUGCCUUUGAUACUGACAGUCUCGAGGGAGGUAGGGGCGUGCGGAACUUCCGGUGGAGCGGUGAAAUGCGUAGAUAUCGGAAGGAACACCGGUGGCGAAAGCGGUGCGCUGGACCUCUUCUGACGCUGAGGCGCGAAAGCCAGGGGAGCGAACGGG